rnacentral:rRNA from 1 species
AUUGAACGCUGGCGGCAUGCCUUACACAUGCAAGUCGAACGGCAGCACGGGAGCAAUCCUGGUGGCGAGUGGCGAACGGGUGAGUAAUAUAUCGGAACGUGCCCAGUCGUGGGGGAUAACGCAGCGAAAGCUGUGCUAAUACCGCAUACGACCUAAGGAUGAAAGCGGGGGAUCGCAAGACCUCGCGCGAUUGGAGCGGCCGAUAGCAGAUUAGCUAGUUGGUGGGGUAAAGGCCCACCAAGGCGACGAUCUGUAGCUGGUCUGAGAGGACGACCAGCAACACUGGAACUGAGACACGGUCCAGACUCCUACGGGAGGCAGCAGUGGGGAAUUUUGGACAAUGGGCGCAAGCCCGAUCCAGCAAUGCCGCGUGCAGGAUGAAGGCCUUCGGGUUGUAAACUGCUUUUGUACGGAACGAAACGGCCCUUUCUAAUACAGGGGGCUAAUGACGGUACCGUAAGAAUAAGCACCGGCUAACUACGUGCCAGCAGCCGCGGUAAAAC